AUUGAACGCUGGCGGCAGGCCUAACACAUGCAAGUCGAGCGGAUGAAGGGAGCUUGCUCCUGGAUUCAGCGGCGGACGGGUGAGUAAUGCCUAGGAAUCUGCCUGGUAGUGGGGGAUAACGUCCGGAAACGGGCGCUAAUACCGCAUACGUCCUGAGGGAGAUAGUGGGGGAUCUUCGGACCUCACGCUAUCAGAUGAGCCUAGGUCGGAUUAGCUAGUUGGUGGGGUAAAGGCCUACCAAGGCGACGAUCCGUAGCUGGUCUGAGAGGAUGAUCAGUCACACUGGAACUGAGACACGGUCCUGACUCCUAAGGGAGGCAGCAGUGGGGAAUAUUAGACAAUGGGCGAAAGCCUGAUCCAGCCAUGCCGCGUGUGUGAAGAAGGUCUUCGGAUUGUAAAGCACUUUAAGUUGGGAGGAAGGGCAGUAAGUUAAUACCUUGCUGUUUUGACGUUACCAACAGAAUAAGCACCGGCUAACUUCGUG
rnacentral:rRNA from 1 species